rnacentral:rRNA from 1 species
UAAUUCCGGUUGAUCCUGCCGGACCCGACUGCUAUUUGGGUGAGGUUAAGCCAUGCGAGUUGAAUGGGAUACCUAAAAUUCCCAUGGCGAACUGCUCAGUAACACAUGAUCAACUUGCCCUAUGGAGAGAAAUAACCUCGGGAAACUGAGGAUAAUUUUUCAUAGUUGAAAAGGCUUGGAAAAGUUUUUCAAUCAAAGGGAUAAGAAAAAUGGUUCUUAUUUGCCAUAGGAUAGGAUCGUGGUCGAUUAUGGUAGUUGGUGAGGUAAUGGCUCACCAAGCCGAUAAUCGAUAGGGGCCGUGAGAGCGGGUGCCCCGAGAUGGGUACUGA